rnacentral:rRNA from 1 species
AGUGAACGCUGGCGGUAGGCCUAACACAUGCAAGUCGAACGGCAGCACAGUAAGAGCUUGCUCUUACGGGUGGCGAGUGGCGGACGGGUGAGGAAUACAUCGGAAUCUACUUUUUCGUGGGGGAUAACGUAGGGAAACUUACGCUAAUACCGCAUACGACCUACGGGUGAAAGCAGGGGAUCUUCGGACCUUGCUCGAUUGAAUGAGCCGAUGUCGGAUUAGCUAGUUGGCGGGGUAAAGGCCCACCAAGGCGACGAUCCGUAGCUGGUCUGAGAGGAUGAUCAGCCACAAUGGAACUGAGAAACGGUCCAGACUCCUAGGGGAGGCAGAAGUGGGGAAUAUUGGACAAUGGGCGCAAGCCUGAUCCAGCCAUACAGCGUGGGUGAAGAAGGACUUCGGGUUGGAAAGCCCUUUUGUUGGGAAAGAAAAGCAGCAGGAUAAUACCCCGCUGUUCUGACGGUACCCAAAGAAUAAGCACCGGCUAACUUCGUG